CAGGAGAUAGUUUAUAUAGAAUACCA
rnacentral:tRNA from 1 species